GACGAACGCUGGCGGCGUGCUUAACACAUGCAAGUCGAACGGAAAGGCCCUGCUUUUGUGGGGUGCUCGAGUGGCGAACGGGUGAGUAACACGUGAGUAACCUGCCCUUGACUUUGGGAUAACUUCAGGAAACUGGGGCUAAUACCGGAUAGGAGCUCCUGCUGCAUGGUGGGGGUUGGAAAGUUUCGGCGGUUGGGGAUGGACUCGCGGCUUAUCAGCUUGUUGGUGGGGUAGUGGCUUACCAAGGCUUUGACGGGUAGCCGGCCUGAGAGGGUGACCGGCCACAUUGGGACUGAGAUACGGCCCAGACUCCUACGGGAGGCAGCAGUGGGGAAUAUUACACAAUGGGCGGAAGCCUGAUGCAGCAACGCCGCGUGCGGGAUGACGGCCUUCGGGUUGUAAACCGCUUUCGCCUGUGACGAAGCGUGAGUGACGGUAAUGGGUAAGGAAGCACCGGCUAACUACGUG
rnacentral:rRNA from 1 species